rnacentral:rRNA from 1 species
UACGGGGGGGGCAAGCGUUGUUCGGAAUUACUGGGCGUAAAGGGCUCGUAGGCGGCCAACUAAGUCAGACGUGAAAUCCCUCGGCUUAACCGGGGAACUGCGUCUGAUACUGGAUGGCUUGGGGUUGGGAGAGGGAUGCGGAAUUCCAGGUGUAGCGGUGAAAUGCGUAGAUAUCUGGAGGAACACCGGUGGCGAAGGCGGCAUCCUGGACCAAUUCUGACGCUGAGGAGCGAAAGCCAGGGGAGCAAACGGG